ensembl:snRNA U6 U6 spliceosomal RNA
AUUAUAAGCCAAGGAGCAUUUGUACUAAAAUUGGAAUGAUAGCAUAUUAACAUGGUCCCUGCACAAAGAUGACAUGAAAAUUUGUGAAGCUUUCCAUAUUUUU